AUGCGGGUUCCCCUUGGCGAGGAUGAGCCUCACCGUCUCCGCGUACACGAACGUGACGAAGCCGAACAUGCGCUUCUGCUGGUACGGGAUGCGCACGUCCUGCACCGUGGCACGGUACCUGAAGUAGGAGGACACGUCCUCCUCGCUGAAGGUGGAGUCGGCCGGGAAUGUCAGGUAGAUCUGCCGCGCGGCGGGGCUGGAGGCGAGGUCGCCGCCGCGGUCCAUCCGAGGCGACCGCACGGAGAACUUGUGCAUGUCGUCGCCGCCUCCACCGCCGAGAAGCAUGGCCGCCGCCGCCGCCCUGGAAUAGCAAGGAAGAUUAGCACCGGAAAGAGCAACUAA
rnacentral:rRNA from 1 species